rnacentral:rRNA from 1 species
AAUCAAGUGCCUUAAGGGUGUUCGGUGGAUGCCUUGGCGCUGAGAGGCGAUGAAGGACGUGCUACGCUGCGAUAAGCCGUGGGGAGCUGCGAAGAAGCUUUGAUCCGCGGAUUUCCGAAUGGGGAAACCCACCUUCGAUAGCCGGAACUCCAAGACCUUGGUUUUGGGGUUCGAUUGGGAGACCGAGAGAAUUCAGGGCCGUGAGGUCUUGGAUUUCCGGUUAUCAAGAGAAGGUAUGAGAUCUCUGAAUACAUAGGAGGUUUCAAGCAAACCCAGGGAACUGAAACAUCUAAGUACCUGGAGGAAAGGACAUCAACCGAGACUCCGCUAGUAGUGGCGAGCGAACGCGGACCAGGCCAGUCAUGAAUGUAAGCCAACCAGAACCUGUCAGGAAAGCAGGGCCUCAGAGGGUGAUAGCCCCGUAUGGGUAAUGCGAACAUUCAUGCUCGAGUACGGCGG